CAUAGCGUAUAUUAAAGUUGUUGCGGUAAAAAAGCCUCGUAGUUGGGUUUCUUCUGAGAAUGAGCGGUCUACACCAUGUGUACGCAUCUGCUUCAGUCUCGGAAUCCUCGCAGAAUACGUCUCUGCGCUUGAUUGCGUGGAACGGACUCUGUGACUUUUACUUUGAGGAAAUUAGAGUGCUCACGGCAGGCUAUCGCCAGAAUACAUUAGCAUGGAAUAAUAAUAUAGGAUCUUGAUUCUAUUUUGUUGGUUUCUAGAAUUGAGAUAAUGAUUAAUAGGGACAAUUGGGGGCAUUCGUAUCAACACGUCAGAGGUGGAAUUCUUGGAUUGUGUUGCGACGAACUACUGCGAAAGCAUUUGCCAAGGAUGUUUUCAUUGAUCAAGAACGAAAGUAAGGGGAUCGAAGACGAUUAGAUACCGUCGUAGUCUUUACCAUAAACUAUGCCAACUAGAGAUGGGUGAUCGUUCACUUACGACUUCAUCUGCACCUUAUGAGAUAUCAAAGUUUUUGGGUUCCGGGGGGAGUAUGGUCGCAAGUCUGAAACUUAAAG
rnacentral:rRNA from 1 species